GACGAACGCUGGCGGCGUGCUUAACACAUGCAAGUCGAACGGAAAGGCCCCUUUGGGUGUACUCGCGUGGCGAACGGGUGAGUAACACGUGAGUAACCUGCCCUUGUCUUCGGGAUAACUUCAGGAAACUGGGGCUAAUACCGGAUAGGAAUCCUUGCUGCAUGGUGGGGGUUGGAAAGCUUCGGCGGUUUUGGAUGGACUCGCGGCCUAUCAGCUUGUUGGUGGGGUAGUGGCUUACCAAGGCUUUGACGGGUAGCCGGCCUGAGAGGGCGACCGGCCACAUUGGGACUGAGAUACGGCCCAGGCUCCUACGGGAGGCAGCAGUGGGGAAUAUUGCACAAUGGGCGGAAGCCUGAUGCAGCAACGCCGCGUGCGGGAGGACGGGCUUCGGGUUGGAAACCGCUUUCAGCAGGGGCGAAGCUUGUGGUGACGGUACCUGCAGAAGAAGCACCGGCUAACUACGUG
rnacentral:rRNA from 1 species